GGAGUAAAGCUUGCCGUGAGAAGUCAGCAGAAGCCAUAGUAGUGGAAUUCUCGAUAACGUUCCAUGAAGGGC
rfam:Prevotella copri CAG:164 genomic scaffold, scf141